rnacentral:lncRNA from 1 species
AUUUUCUUACAUAGAAAUUGAAUUACAUGUGUAUGGUAAAUUGUGGUAAAACAAGCAAGGUAAUUUUCUCUUCCAAACUCCAUACGGUUUUCAACAAAACAACAAACUAAACUUUCUCUUUUAAUUAAACCAUCAUGCAAUUGAAAAGAAAAUUAAACACCACUUGGUAAAAAUAAAAUUUCAAGCUUCCAACAACCAAGAAUCAAUUCAAGCUUUUCUUCACNCAAGAUUCAAUUUUAUAAAAAAAUUUAGCAAUUGAACUUCAAGAAAACAAGAGAUGAUAAAUUCAACUUGUCUUAUUAUUCAACCACAAAGAAAAUUGAUAUGAAAGCACAAAGAAAACUUACAAGUUCUUGCUUCAACAAUUUAAAUUGGAAUGAAAGGAAAUGAGUUACUUAUUUUAUCUUCCUCCAAGCAAGAAUUUACAUGCAAAAGAAGAAGAAAAUUAAACUCUUGAUGUAUUCUCCUUCCAAAGGCCUUGGUACAUGACAAAUUUAGGAAAGUUUUCCCUUUUUUUUUUCCUCCCAAAACCUUGAAGAACACCUCCUUAGACCACCUCCCCCAUCAAGGCCGUGAGGAGUGUCUUAGACCAACCCCCUCCUCCUCUUCUUUGCUUCCUUUUUAUUAAGAAUAAUUCCCAAUUGUUGUCCACCUCAUCAAGCAAUAAUGUUUCCUCUCUUUUCCUUGAGGCCAUGACUUCUUUUUCAUGUGGCAGCUGCUGCCCCCUUUUUUUAUUUGUUGGAGUUGCCUUUCUUGUUGGCUAUGACACACCUACAUUAUCACCAUCACUUUAGACAACUCAUUUGCUAAACUUUGGUCCCUUUCUCCAUGGUGGCAGCUGCUGAAGAUAAGCAUAAAAAAAACUUGGUGCUCUUCAUAAUGCAUGGACCGUGACAAUUUUAGGAGAGCUGCACCACUUCUUCAAUCAAAUUAUACAUGAAUCACGCUGCACUCUAGUUCCUGGACANUAAAACUGUCACAUCUUGCCCAGUUCGGUUAAACCCCUUCCUGAAGUCCAAAAUAUGCGUAUGAGUAGUCGAAUCGAAGCUCUUUGAGUCUAGUUUUUAAUAAAAAAGAAAUCAACGCAUUUGGAGUUUUAUAGAGAGAGUAAUGGUCAAAAUACUCAGCAGAGGUCAAAGCUGAAAAACACCAGAACGUGAUCACAAUUACGUUUUUACAAUUUUUACUGCAGCUAGCCCCNUUGUCCAAAAAUUGCGAUUUUAGUGUCCAAAGAAAGAUAUUUGAGUCUACUUUCCAAUGGAACAAGAAUCACCUCAAUUGAAAAUCUAUAGAAAAAGUUAUAAAUAAAAUAGUAAACCAUGUCAAAGUUGACAGCAUUCUAUUUUACUUAAUAACUUUAACUUUUUUUACAGCUUGGUAAUUUCUUGAGCUUCUAGGGUCUUAGAGUACAUGUGCUUUUCAAAACAAAGGGUGCAAUUUCAUACAUGUGGUCUACAAUCAUUUCAUUUUUUUCUCUCCCAAAUUGUCACACUUGCUUGCUUCACUUCCAAAACCAUGUGGUUUCACACUUUGAAAUCAAAAAUUCUUCAUCCUAAGAAAAGCCAAAUUUAUUACAAGCCAAAUUGAAAUUCACACCUUCUUUUCCAUUUAAGUUUAAAAUAAAAUUGAUGUGUCAUUUCUCUUUAAGUCCACAAAUAUUAACCAAUAAUUUCCCUACACUUAAUAAUGCAAAUAAUUAGUCCCAGAUAAUUCAAAUUAACAAAAAUAAGAAUUUCCGGUCAAAUUAAGCACAAUUCACAGAAACGGGAAAAUAUCAGACGUUUAAGUACAAUUUCCUGAUUAAAUUCGGUACAAUAAACUAAGUGAAAUCAAUAAAAUAUGGAUUCAUCAAAAUAGACCACACUUAGUCUUUUGCACUCCUAGGCAAAAUCAAGACGCAAAUCAGGGAAUAGAUCAAAGGACAUCAGGGAAGUGACACAGACUCAGUACAUAGAAAACAACAAAGACUGACAAGGAAAGAAACAGGUUUACACAGCUCUCAAGAAAUCUGGACAAAGAAAAGAAGUAGACAAUAUCCAACACAGAAUCAGAGAAUACAGAUACUCAUGAAGUCAUCCAAGCAAUUCAAAACAUGGCAAAAUGAUCAAUCAACUCAAGAGGUGAAACAAAAGUAACAGAACUCACAGAUGCACUUUCAAUGUUUCUCUCAAGUGUCUAAGGUAAACAGUUUUAACUCAAUGCACUCAAGAAAGCAAACACAAUUAGACUUGGCAAGUCUCUAAUAUUAACACUCAAACAUAUACGCAUGUUCAAAUCAAAAGGUCUUUUCAUGGUUGUAAUGGGGCCAAGGAUAAGGGAGGAUACAUCUGGAUAAGAAACUAUAAACCAUAAGGAACAGAGGAGCAAUGGGAAAUAAGUUUAAUCACAUUGAAACACACCUACAACCUCUAAUUUCAUCCUCUUCUUGACUCCAUUAUCCACAAUUAUUCACAAAUUCUAAUUUUUUAUUUUUUUUAUACAUUUUUUUUUUAAUUUCAAGAGAUAAGAUACACAACAUAUUUACAAAAAAAUACGACAAUAAGAGGACUCACUAGCCCAAUCAUCUGAAACUCCCAGGAGACCACACUUAUUCCCAAACCAAUUCCAAAACUCCAAAAUUCCCUAAGGUUAAGGUAAUCAUGGUUUUUCACUUAGGGGUAAUUAAUGAGCUUGAAAACAAAGAACAGGGGAAAGUAUAGGCUCAAAGGGGUUAUCAAGGGAUUAAAACAGGGUAGGCUUGUUUGGCUAGAGAGGUUCAACAACAAAAUUGCCUUUAUCAUUUCCAAACAUGCAUAUCAAUCGUGAAUUAUCAACAAGAGUCAAGCCAAGGCAUAUGUGUAAGCAGUCAAGAGACAUAUCACACACGAGAAAGAAUAUCAAGUGGCUCAAAUCUCACACAGGGUAUUUUCUGUCACCAUGAAAUCACCUUCUCAAACAUCAUAACCAUUUUCCAAAGCAAAGAAAAGCAGGGAUUUCAGGCUAAUCAGAGUAUCAAUGUAGUGAAGGAAAAAAAAUCUACAACUUAACAAAGUCCAGAUAAUCAAGAGAAACAGGUAAAACUGAACACAAAAUACAGCAAAAAUUACCCAGAAACAAAAAAAUUUCACACGAAAAACAAAAAAAAAUUCAAAGAAAAAUCAGAAUCUCCUCCAUUUAUUACUGGGUAUGGGCAGAGAUCAUUAAUAAAAGACAAGAAAUGCGGCUAGAUGUUUCAGGUUGAAGAGGAAGGGUGAUUAUGCAUUGGAUGAUGAAAAAUGGGUGUAUACACACAACAAUACAUACUCAAACGGAGCAACAUCGUUAAAUGAAGUAUAAUGCAGAAUGAGCAAGGUGAGCUUACCUCUUGGAGCUCUGCUUGCCCUUGUCAACUUAGUAUCUCCACUGACCUUUCUCCCUUCUUUGGUUGGCGUUCCUUCUUUUCUUUUUCGUGAAUCCUGGAGGCUCUAACAGGGAUGAUCACUUUCGAUUCAGUGAGGAGAGUUCCUUUCUCCGUAGUGUUUUCUCUCUUCUCUUAGGUAAUCAUCCUCCCCUCCAAAUCCCCCUUCCUCUACCUUUAUCACGAUUUUUUGUAAUCGUUUCCUCUACGAAUCCAAACUGCGUCUGCCAACCAAAUCGCGUCCUUGCCUGGAGAAAUUGUUUUCUGCCCCCUACCUCCAGCACGCGUACCUUUCUCAACAAAAUAAUUUCCUUUUUUUCUUUUUUUUUACACUACAGACAAAACUAUUACACGUUUCAAACCUUUUUCCUUUCUUUUUUUUCUUAACUAUAUUAAUUGUAUUAAAAUAAACUAAAAAUAAAAAGUAAAAAUCAAAAAAACAAAAAUGAAAAUUAUAAAAAAGAUAAAAUAAAAAGAUGAAAAUAAGUAAAUAAAAAAAACACAUGGAACAUAACAAAAUACAAUAAAGCCAAAAAUCAAUCCGGACGAAAUUUGGUAUUAACAACUAGAGAAUUAUAAGAUUUUUAUUCUUUUCCUUUUUCUUUAUCUAUGUUUGAUGGUGACUCCACUGGGGAAUUCGAGAGUUAAGCCAUUUAAUAAAAUGUGCAAAUUCGAUGUGGUCUUACUUUGCGUUUUUCUUCUCUUUUUCCUUAUCUAUGUUUGAUGUUUGAAAUAAUUGCAUGUGAAUUGUUUUAAUAUUGAAUCCUAAGGUAGAAAACAUGUUUAUAUUUGCUUGGGAUUUUUCUGGUUGUUUUGCAAGUGAAGGUUUAGGUAUGCAUUGCAUUCUCCUUUCAUAUACACACUUUAUGCAUAUCAUGAGUGGAACCCUAUACCCGGGUCUGAGUGUAACUUAGAAAUAGAAGGGUUGUGUAACGCUGCCACUUGGAACAUACUUCAUGUUUGGCUAUCGUGAGAAUCUCAGCUAGAUUUGUUCUCUUCACUUGGGUCUCCCUGCCUAGUUGAUUACUUGAAUGUUUUAGAGAUGCUAUGAAGGGGGUCAUAACUGUAGUGACCAUUGACCUUUAGGUUCAGGGAACCAUCCUGGUGAGAUUGCAUAUAAUUGACCUUAAAUCCGAAGCAGUGAACCUUUAUUAAGGCACGAAGGAAGAAAUGUGUAUUCAUGUAACCCUCACUGUUUGUUCUUUUUUGAAAAUAAUGACAUUGUAUGCAUGCAUUUUGUUAGUCAUGUUGUUUUUACUUCGUUGUGUUACCAUGCAUCAUGUUCAUUCAUCAUUUGGUAACAUACUAGUUUUAGGGAAAAUCACAGGUAUUCACUUGAUCUCAUACGAUAUGGAAGUUGAUACAAGAUCUAGUACUACACAACAGACCGAUUCUGUUGUUUUAAGAAGCCUUGUCGAAGGACUCAUGGGGUAAAUCUAACAGGGCUGAUAAACUUAGGCAAAAGACUCAAGACCAUGAAGAGAUAAACCUUCAAGAAGAUGUAUGGAAAUUUGUUGAGUCUAAUGGAAAUGGAAGUACAGUUGCCUGCUAUCACGGCCCUUGCCCAAUAUUACGACUCUCCGCUAAGAUGUUUCACCUUUCAAGACUUACAGUUGUGUUAGAAUUGCUGCAACGGAAUUAUUAGCGUGGAACAAACCAAGAGGGGGGGUGAAUUGGUUAUAUACUUUUAUCGUGCCUUUUAUUAUUUUUCUCUUAAUUUUUCUUACUAAGCUGAUAAUAAAAUGUAAACACGAGAGUAAGGAAAAGAGAAAAAUGCACAGGUGAUUUUAUCCUGGUUCAGAUCACAAGGAUCCUACGUCCAGUCGCUUAUCUCAAACAAGAUAAACCUUUUUCACUAUCACAAAACAAUUACAAAUAUUAGUCAUAGAGAAAAAUAAUUUGUAAGAGUUUAGAAAUACCACCUCUCUUGAAACCACAAGAGAUGAACUUACAAACACCUCCUUUGAAUAUUCACAGAGGAUGACCACCUACUUUGAAUGCUUCACAAAGGAUGAUUCUCUUCCAGGCACUUCCUCGGACACACCAAGGAUGAGUAAGCUAUUCCUCUGUCACCGCAGUAGCACUUCAGGGCUUUGCAGACGAGAGUUUCCUUAGCUUCAACAAUCUCACAGAGUUCUCAAAAAGUUCAGAGGUUCUUAGCACAAGGGAAGAGUUAUUUUGGAAAUAAAGAGUGAGCCAUCUUAUAGACUCAGCCCAAUACCCUUCCAUUCCUCGAAAACAGGNCAUCUAANGCAUUUAAUCGAUUAAAACAGCUUGUGGAAGAUUCUCAAUAACAAUAAAUCAAAUAUAAAACACAAGAAUCAACCCUAAUACAUAUUUGAGCANUAUUACAUCAACUUUGAUUAUUAUAAAAGCUUUAUAAAAUACAGAGAUCUUCAAUCCGUCUUUAUGGAUCUUGACUUGUGCAAAUCUGUUCAUCAUCAAAACUUCAUCUUUUAUUUUUGCUAACAUUCUCCCCCUUUUUGAUGAUGAUCAAAAAUUAUCUCCAAGUUUAAAGCUUAAAGCUUUUUAAUAAUCUGAAAAAAAAAAUACAACUCAUAGAGGAAGAGAGCAUUAGAAAAUAAAAGGAUCUCUUUAAACUAUAUUCUCCCCCUUUUUUUAUCAUAAGAAAAAAUUAUAUUUAAUAAAUUUCUCCCCCUUAAUAAAAAGAAAGCAUGCAUAAAAGAAACAUAAACAUCUACUUUUUAUUGAAUUUAAGAGAAGACAAGCAUACAAUCAUAAAGAUAAGCAAUAAAAAAAUCAAAGAGGAUCUAGAAUUCAUCACUUUCGUCACUAUUAAAGUGUCGCUCUAGUCCUGAAAUCCUAGUGUCUAGAUUCCUGAGAUGAGUGCAAAUUUCUUCGUGGCGAGUGUUUUGAAUAUGCAUCAUCUCAUUUUGGAGGCGAGCCAUCUCAGACAUUUGUCUAGAGAGACUCUCUAGACUAUAUUUUUCAUUCACUUGAGAUGUGCCAACAACAUUUGUGGGGUCAGGCAUGGGGUUAUCUGCAUCUUCUUCUUCAUCUGCUUGAACGCCAGCAACAUCAUCAGGAUGAACAUAGGAGUCCCCUUGUUUAAGGAAUCCCAUUUGUCUUAGGGAAUUAUCUCCAACUCUAUGGCCUAGGAGCACACUCUCAUAGUGCUCAUUUGAGAUAUCUACCCCUUUAUACACACAGAUCUGCGAAACUAGGAGAGGAUAUGGGAGUGGUGCAGCAUCUAACCUUUUGGCUUUGAACAUAAUGGUUUGAAACAGAUGAGGCCAAUUGAGUGGGAUGCUCUGAAGUAUCCUAUACAUGAUGAUGAGAUCCGUCUCAGAGCACUGUGCAUGGUUGGACCCUCUAGGACAUAGGAGCCAAACAAUGAGGUAGUGCAAGAGACGCUCUUCCAUCUUGAGUCCUCCGGCAAGAUAAAGACGGGCGUUGCGUUGGCGAGGAUUGCGGAGAAAGGAUUGAAAUACCAUUAUCUUGUUGAAAUUUGCAAAGUCACUUGGAACAAUUUGUGAAUUUUCCAACACAUGAACCUUUGCCACAUUGGUCCAAACAUCAUUGUCCAAGACAAUGUCCACCCCUUUGACCCUUGUUGAGAAAAUUCCAUCACGAAACUUUAAGUUAAAAUAGAAUACUCGAACAAGAUCAGGAUAGUACCUUCCACGGAGUUCCAUGAAGUGUUGAACUCCUUGCUCAAUUAUAAGAUUUGGAAAAGAGAAGUUGUGAGCGAUAUACCAAGCAAGAUCAAUGAACUUUUGCUUGAUGAGCUUCCUUUCCUUCCAAAAUUGUGAGAAGGAUUGCUGAUCUUGAUCAUCGGAGAGCCAUCCUUCUACAGUAUCAUCUCUUUUGCAAACAUUAUUCUCCGAAACUUCACUGGUUCUUCUCCUCCUUCUUCUUGAAGGUUCAGCCAUUGAAAUUGAUGGAAGGCAAAGAUUAUACAGAAAUGGGGUACGUGGCGUUAUUCUACCCGAAUGUCUCUGUCAUACCUUCAAAUGAAGGGAGAUAAACAGCGGUUUUCCAGCCUAUAUACCCCGUGAAAUGACUUUCAAUGUGUCGUAAAAAAAAAGUUGAAAAUGAAUGACAAAAAAGAGAAGAAGAUAAUGUCUCGAGCAGAGGGGAUUUCCUUGCCAACUAGCCAGAAGCAUGUAAAAGAAAAUCAAACCAAUUGGGUUCGUCCUUUUAGCCGAUCUUUUUCAUGCCCACUACCUCUUCCAAAUGGAACCCUUUGCCAAGGAAUAAACUGGGGCAGCUUUGGGAGUCUCAUACAAAUUUUUCAUCAACCCAUGACCCAAGACUGGGGUAGCUUUGUGAGUCUCAUACAAAUUUUUCAUCAACCCAUGACCCAAGACUGGGGCAGCUUUGUGAGUCUCAUACAAAUUUUUCAUCAACCCAUGAUACCAAGACUGGGACAGAUUUGCAUGUCUCAUUUGAUUUGUUCACCCUUAUUUUCAUGGAUCCAUAACCCUAUGCUCAUUUUCCCAAACACUAAAUCGGGACAACAUUUUUUGGUAUAUCUUGUUUCAUCUUGGCACUCACAUAUUACAUCUCCUUUGAAAAUUAUAGUACCCAUGUGUCGGUCCCAAUCUUCCAAAUCAUUCCAAACAACUCUCAUUCUCUUCAAAACCAUCCUCUUGCCAAUAAAUUCAAACAUGUGUGCACUGAUGUCUUAGAAGAAAAGUCAACAUGUAAUCAUCUCAAAGUUUAGACCUCGGAUGUAAGACAUUUAUCACUUUCACAAAACAUUGAAAAUGAAAAUCAGUUUGAUGAUUGUGAGCAAGACGAUUGACUCAAGCAUAAAAAAAAAUUAUUGCAUAAAUAUGAGGUUCAAGUGUCGGCCAUAAGCGACCGUUAAGAGUACAGUCCAGAAAUAAAAAAAACAAAACAAAAACAACAACAACAACAAAAUAUAUACAAAAUAAAAAAAUGAAAAAAAAUAACUAUAAUAAUAAUAGAUAAGGAGGGUUCCCUUAAGGUGAUGGUGGUCUCAGAGAAAGCGCCGUGGAAGGUGCCUUGAGGCGGAAUGGCACGAGGUAGGUCAUUAUCGCUUCCUCUUCACGUAUGGGGGGAAUAAGGAAGAGAUCCAAGAGUUGUGGAGUCGGUGAAACCUGUGAAAACUGCGGAAUGACCCAUGAAGGAUCUCCAAAAUAAAAAAAUAAAAAAAAAACAAUUUUAGUCAAAUAAACAAGGAAAUAAAAAAAACAACAAAAAAACAAAAAGAAAAAACAACAUAAAAACAAAUAAAAAAUACUUACCAUAAAUGUACGCCGGCAGGAGAGAAUAGGAAUGUCCAGAUGUCCCAGAGACAUCUUGAGGCAAGCGUCUGUGUUUUAUUCGGUUUCCAUGGUUUUGAAACCAGCAGUAAACGCUGUACUCUCCGACUUCCCCGUACACCCGAAGUCGUUCUGCAAUUUCUCGGAUCUGGUCCCGAUUGGGAUUGAUGAUCCGUGAUUAUAGAUGUUGAGCAGGAUCUGAAUUUGUUGCGGGGUGGACUGCCACCUUUUGUAAGUCGUAUCCACAUUUUCCAUACCCUUGCUCAUAUUUCUUCUAAGAAUAAAAAAGAAGCAACAAAAAAAAAAUAAAACAAAACAAAAACAAAAGAUAAGAUUGUCAGAGGUAAGUUAAGUCAAUUCUUUCAUUUAUUUGUCCGGUCUCAGUCCUAAUGUCCAUAAAUAAGUCGGUUUCAAGGUCCUUGCAACGGAUUCUAAUCANAUCUAGGUCCAAGGGGUCUCUUUUCUUGUUGAAAUUAAAAUUUUGUUUUAAGUGGGGUAGGUGGCGGUUCUUCGGCCUAUAUACCCCAUGUUCAUCAAUUUUAUAUAACGAAAAAAAAACCGAAAAAAAAAAGAAGAGAAAAAAUACAGAAAUGGGGUACGUGGCGUUGUUUUACCCGAAUGUCUCUGUCAUACCUUCAAACGAAGGGAGAUAAACAACGGUUUUCCAGCCUAUAUACCCCGUGUACAUAACAAAAAAAAAAACAACAAAAGAAAAAAUGACGAAAAAAUAAAGUCAAGAAUGUAAAUAAACGUAAGGCAGAAAAACAAAUUAAAAACAAAAAAACAGUUAGUAAAGUGCGAGAAAUAUAAAAGCGAAUAAAAAGCAGUAAAGUGCGAGGAACAUAAAAGAAAUGUAAAGCAGAAAAAUGCUAGAAAAAAAAAUGAACGAAAGAGAAGAAGUGUACAUAGAGGGAAAGAAACUUACAGAAGCAGAGUCUCGGCNGAGGUUUCUNCCUCAGAAGCUCUCCUCACUCACUCUCUGAAANGCUCACAAGAAUCGCAACUCUGACCAACGUCCUCGGCUCCUCUAUUUAUAACCAAAAAAUUUCGUUGUAACUACAGUUUCGGUCAUGUUUACCGGAGGCUCUUAAUAGUACCGGUAAAUUUUAUUUAUUUACCGGUACUAUUGAGAGCCUCCGAUAAACAUGACCAAAACUGUAGUUACAGCGAAAUUUUUUGGUUAUAAAUAGAGGAGCCGAGGACGUUGGUCAGAGUUGCGAUUCUUGUGAGCNUUUCAGAGAGUGAGUGAGGAGAGCUUCUGAGGNAGAAACCUCNGCCGAGACUCUGCUUCUGUAAGUUUCUUUCCCUCUAUGUACACUUCUUCUCUUUCGUUCAUUUUUUUUUCUAGCAUUUUUCUGCUUUACAUUUCUUUUAUGUUCCUCGCACUUUACUGCUUUUUAUUCGCUUUUAUAUUUCUCGCACUUUACUAACUGUUUUUUUUUUUUAAUUUGUUUUUCUGCCUUACGUUUAUUUACAUUCUUGACUUUAUUUUUUCGUCAUUUUUUCUUUUGUUGUUUUUUUUUGUUAUGUACACGGGGUAUAUAGGCUGGAAAACCGUUGUUUAUCUCCCUUCGUUUGAAGGUAUGACAGAGACAUUCGGGUAGAACAACGCCAUGUACCCCAUUUCUGUAUUUUUUCUCUUCUUUUUUUUUCGGUUUUUUUUCGUUAUAUAAAAUUGAUGAACAUGGGGUAUAUAGGCCGAAGAACCGCCACCUACCCCACUUAAAACAAAAUUUUAAUUUCAACAAGAAAAGAGACCCCUUGGACCUAGAUNUGAUUAGAAUCCGUUGCAAGGACCUUGAAACCGACUUAUUUAUGGACAUUAGGACUGAGACCGGACAAAUAAAUGAAAGAAUUGACUUAACUUACCUCUGACAAUCUUAUCUUUUGUUUUUGUUUUGUUUUAUUUUAUUUUGUUUUGUUUUUGUUGCUUUUUUUUAUUCUUAGAAGAAAUAUGAGCAAGGGUAUGGAAAAUGUGGAUACGACUUACAAAAGGUGGUAGUCCACCCCGCAGCAAAUUCAGAUCCUGCUCAACAUCUAUAAUCACAGGAUCAUCAAUCCCAAUCGGGACCAGAUCCGGGAAAUUGCAGAACGACUUCGGGUGUAUGGGGAAGUCGGAGAGUACAGCGUUUACUGCUGGUUUCAAAACUAUGGAAACCGAAUAAAACACAGACGCUUGCCUCAAGAUGUCUCUGGGACAUCUGGACAUUACUAUUCUCUCCUGCCGGCGUACAUUUAUGGUAAGUAUUUUUUAUUUGUUUUUAUGUUGUUUUUUCUUUUUGUUUUUUUGUUGUUUUUUUUUAUUUCCUUGUUUAUUUGACUAAAAUUGUUUUUUUUUUUGGAGAUCCUUCAUGGGUCAUUCUGCAGUUUUCACAGGUUCCACCGACUCCACAACUCUUGGAUCUCUUCCCUAUUCCCCCCAUACGUGAAGAGGAAGCGAUAGUGACCUACCUCGUGCCAUUCCGCCUAAAGGCACCUUCCACGGCGCUUUCUCUGAGACCACCAUCACCUUAAGGGAACCCCUCCUUAUCUAUAAUUAUUAUAGUUAUUUUUUUUCAUUUUUUUAUUUUGUAUAUAUUUUGUUGUUGUUUUUUUUUUAUUUUAUUUUAUUUCUGGACUGUACUCUUAACGGUCGCUUAUGGCCGACACUUGAACCUCAUUUAUUUACGCAAUAAUUUUUUUUUAUGCUUGAGUCAAUCGUCUUACUCACAAUCAUCAAACUGAUUUUCAUUUUCAAUGUUUUGUGAAAGUGAUAAAUGUCUUACAUCCGAGGUCUAAACUUUGAGAUUAUUACAUGUUGACUUUUCUUCCGAGACAUCAGUACACACAUGUUUGAAUUUAUUGGCAAGAUGAUGGUUUUGAAGAGAAUGAGAGUUGUUUGGAAUGAUUUGGAAGAUUGGGACCGGCACAUGGGUACUAUAAUUUUCAAAGGAGAUGUAAUAUGUGAGUGCCAAGAUGAAACAAGAUAUACCAAAAAAUGUUGCCCCGAUUUAGUGUUUGGGAAAAUGAGCAUAGGGGUAUGGAUCCAUGAAAAUAAGGGUGAACAAAUCAAAUGAGACAUGCAAAUCUGUCCCAGUCUUGGUAUCAUGGGUUGAUGAAAAAUUUGUAUGAGACUCACAAAGCUGCCCCAGUCUUGGGUCAUGGGUUGAUGAAAAAUUUGUAUGAGACUCACAAAGCUACCCCAGUCUUGGGUCAUGGGUUGAUGAAAAAUUUGUAUGAGACUCCCAAAGCUGCCCCAGUUUAUUCCUUGGCAAAGGGUUCCAUUUGGAAGAGGUAGUGGGCAUGAAAAAGAUCGGCUAAAAGGACGAACCCAAUUGGUUUGAUUUUCUUUUACAUGCUUCUGGCUAGUUGGCAAGGAAAUCCCCUCUGCCCGAGACAUUAUCUUCUUCUCUUUUUUGUCAUUCAUUUUCAACUUUUUUUUUAUGACACAUUGAAAGUCAUUUCACGGGGUAUAUAGACUGGAAAACCGUUGUUUAUCUCCCUUCGUUUGAAGGUAUGACAAAGACAUUCGGGUAGAACAACGCCACGUACCCCAUUUUUGUAUAAUCUUUGCCUUCCAUCAAUUUCAAUGGCUAAACCUUCAAGAAGAAGGAGGAGAAGAACCAGUGAAGUUUCAGAGAAUAAUGUUCGCAGAAGAGAUGAUACCGUAGAAGGAUGGCUCUCCGAUGAUCAAGAUCAGCAAUCCUUCUCACAAUUUUGGAAGGAAAUGAAGCUCAUCAAGCAAAAGUUCAUUGAUCUUGCUUGGUAUAUCUCUCACAACUUCUCGUUUCCAAAUCUUAUAAUUGAGCAAGGAGUUCAACACUUCAUGGAACUCCGUGGAAGGUACUAUCCUGAUCUUGUUCGGGUAUUCUAUUUUAACUUAAAGGUUCGUGAUGGAAUUUUCUCAACAAGGGUCAAAGGGGUGGACAUUGUCUUGGACAAUGAUGUUUGGACCAAUGUGGCAAAGGUUCNNGUGUUGGAAAAUUCACAAAUUGUUCCAAGUGACUUUGCAAAUUUCAACAAGAUAAUGGUAUUUCAAUCCUUUCUCCGCAAUCCUCGCCAACGCAACGCCCGUCUUUAUCUUGCCGGAGGACUCAAGAUGUAAGAGCGUCUCUUGCACUACCUCAUUGUUUGGCUCCUAUGUCCUAGAGGGUCCAACCAUGCACAGUGCUCUGAGACGGAUCUCAUCAUCAUGUAUGGGAUACUUCAGAGCAUCCCACUCAAUUGGCCUCAUCUGUUUCAAACCAUUAUGUUCAAAGCCAAAAGGUUAGAUGCUGCACCACUCCCAUAUCCUCUCCUAGUUUCGUAGAUCUGUGUGUAUAAAGGGGUAGAUAUCUCAAAUGAGCACUAUGAGAGUGUGCUCCCAGGCCAUAGAGUUGGAGAUAAUUCCCUAAGACAAAUGGGAUUCCUUAAACAAGGGGACUCCUAUGUUCAUCCUGAUGAUGUUGCUGGCGUUCAAGCAGAUGAAGAAGAAGAUGUAGAUAACCUCAUGCCUGACCCCACAAAUGUUGCUGGCACAUCUCAAGUGAAUGAAGAAUAUAGUCUAGAGAGUCUCUCUAGACAAAUGUUUGAGAUGGCUCGCCUCCAAAAUGAGAUGAUGCAUAUUCAAAACACUCGCCACGAAGAAAUUUGCACUCAUCUCAGGAAUCUAGACACUAGGAUUUCAGGACUAGAGCGACACUUUAAUAGUGAUGAAAGUGAUGAAUUCUAGAUCCUCUUUGAUUGUUUUAUUGCUUAUCUUUAUNAUUGUAUGCUUGCCUUCUCUUAAAUUCAAUAAAAAGUAGAUGUUUAUGUUUCUUUUAUGCAUACUUUCUUUUUAUUAAGGGGGAGAAAUUUAUUAAAUAUAUUUUUUUCUUAUGAUCAAAAAAGGGGAGACUAUAGUUUAAAGAGAUCCUUUUAUUUUCUAAUGCUCUCUUCCUCUAUGAGUUGUAUUUUUUUUUCAGAUUAUUAAAAAGCUUUAAGCUUUAAACUUGGAGAUAAUUUUUUAUCAUCAUCAAAAAGGGGGAGAAUGUUAGCAAAAAUAAAAGUUGAAGUUUUGAUGAUGAACANAUUUGCACAAGUCAAGAUCCAUAAAGACGGAAUGAAGAUUCAUCCUUGGUGUAAUAGUGCUCAAAUAUGUAUUAGGGUUGAUUCUUGUGUUUUAUAUUUGAUUUAUUGUUAUUGAGAAUCUUCCACAAGCUGUUUUAAUCGAUUAAACCCAGUUUUAAUCGAUUAAAACUAGACUAGCACUGAAAACCCAAUUGCCCCUGUAAUAAUCGAUUAAAGCAAGUUUUAAUNNNNNNNNNNNNNNNNNNNNNNNNNNNNNNNNNNNNNNNNNNNNNNNNNNNNNNNNNNNNNNNNNNNNNNNNNNNNNNNNNNNNNNNNNNNNNNNNNNNNNNNNNNNNNNNNNNNNNNNNNNNNNNNNNNNNNNNNNNNNNNNNNNNNNNNNNNNNNNNNNNNNNNNNNNNNNNNNNNNNNNNNNUCCGAGGAAGUGCUUGGAAGAGAAUCAUCCUUCGUGAAGCAUUCGAAGGAGGUGGUCAUCCUUUGUGAAGAUUCAAAGGAGGUGUAAGUUCAUCUCUUGUGGUUUCAAGAGAGGUGAUAUUUCUAAACUCUUACAAAUUGUUUUUCUCUGUGAUUAAUAUUUGUAAUUGUUUUGUGAUAGUGAAAAAGGUUUAUCUUGUUUGAGAUAAGCGACUGGACGUAGGAUCUGUGUGAUCUGAACCAGGAUAAAAUCACCUGUGCAAUUUGUCUCUUUCCCUUACUCUCUUAUUUAUAUUUAAUUAUCUGCUCAGUAAGAAAAAUUAAGAGAAAAAUAAUAAAAGGCACGAUAAAAGUAUAUAACCAAUUCACCCCCCCCUCCUCUUGGUUUGUUCCACGCUAAUAAUUCUGUUGCAGCGAUUCUAACAAUUGGUAUCAGAGCUCGUUGUGAUAGUCAUUCAAAUGGCAGAAUCAUAUCAAACUGUUGCAGAGAGUGCCUUUAUCAAUAGACCAUCGUUGUUCAUAGGUGAAAAUUAUGCAUUCUGGAAGGUUAAAAUGCAAAUAUUUAUUAGGUCUAUUGAUUGUGAGAUUGUGGAUGUUAUUGCAUUUGGUUUGUCUGUUCCUACUAACAAUUUGCAGGAACCAAAGCCUCGUAUUCAUUGGACUGCUAAAGAGAAGAAAAGAUUUCAAAAUGAUGUGAAAGCCCGAAACAUCAUUUCAUCUGCUUUAACCGUUGACGAGUUUUACAGGAUCUCAGUUUGUAAGACNGCUCAAGAGAUGUGGNAAGUGCUGAGAGUGACCCACGAAGGUACAGAUGACGUGAAGAGAGCGAGAAAGAAUACCCUAAUCCAAGAAUAUGAAAUGUUCAGGAUGAAGCAAGGAGAAACAAUAUCAGAUGUUCAAAAACGCUUCACCAAUAUCGUAAAUCACCUCAUUGGACUAGGUAAGUCUUUCGAGAAUGAUGAACUUAAUAUAAAAAUUUUGAAAUCUUCAGACAGGUCAUGGCAACCACAAGUGACUGCAAUUUCUGAGUCACAAAAUCUCAACACAAUGACUAUGGCGGCAUUAUUUGGAAAGUUGAGAGAGCAUGAACUUGACCUUGGAAGACUGGAUGAAGAAGAAGCAAUGGCAAAAACAAAGAAAAAGAGUCUAGCCUUAAAAUCUGAGGUAGAAAGGAGCAAAAGCAAAAUAGAAGAUGAAAACUCAGAAGAUGAAGAAAAUUUGAGACUCAUGAUAAAAAGGCUCAACAAGUUCAUGAAAUCAAAAGACAAAGGAAGAUUCAAAGUCGAAAAGAAAGAAAACCAAGAAUCCUCCUUAAAAUAUAGAUGUUAUGGUUGUGGAGAAAGGGGGCACUUAAAAGCGGACUGUCCAAAUCAAAAGAAGAAUGAAGAAAUAAAGGAAAAGAAAUCCUUCAAGAAAAAGAAGGCUUGCAUCGCAUGGGACGAUGACAAUGAAACAAUUUCUUAUUCGAGCGAAUCUGAUGAAGAGGCAAACAUCUGUUUAGUGGCAGACGAUGACGCUGGAAGCCAAGUAAGUACAUCUAGCAAUUAUGAUAAUUAUAGUCAAUUUAGUGAAAGUGAUUGCAUGAAACUUAUGUUGCUUUACUUGUUGAAUCUGAAAAAUUAGAUAAAGCCCAUAAGAAAUUGAAAAAGGAUUUCAAAAAUUUAAAAUUAAAUUUUGAAAAUAUUUCAGAAAAAAAUAAAAUUUAAAAUCAGAUUUUGAAAAUAUUUCUCAGGAAAAUAAAAGUUUAAAAUCAAAUUUUGAAACUAUACUUGAAGAGAAUAAAAAUUUGAAAAAUAAAAUUUUAUUUUAUGAAAAAGGUAAAUUUACUAGUAGUGAUGAAUGUGCAUCUUGCGAAAAUUUUAAGAAAAUGCUAGAACAAACAACCUUAGAAGAAUGCAGUAAAAUUAAUGAAAAUAAGGUUGUUAAAAAUAAGUAUGUUCCUAAAAUUAAAAAUAAACAUAAUAAUAAAACCUGUAGAACAUGGGUAGAAAAAGGAACAACUUAUAGGAACACAAACUUUAUAUCAUGUUUUUAUUGUAUGAAAAAAGGUCAUACCUCAAAUAAAUGUAAAAUUAAGCAUUUUGGUGUUCCAAGUAGUAGAUAUGUUUGGGUUGUAAAAUGAUUUCAUUUUUUUUAAACCAAAGGACAAUGUUUAUUUAUUUAUUUUAAAUUAUUUUAAUUUUAGAAAAACAAAAUUUGAGAAAAUUUUAUUCCAAGCAUGUUGUCUUUGAUAAAAUUAUGGACCUUGAGGUAAAACCUCUUGAGUCAAUUGAAUCAGAUGCAGGUAAUAAUGAAGACUUGCAGAAGACAACAAAAAAAAAAAGAAUGAUGACAAUCCCUAAGACAAAGAUCUCAACAAAAUAUCAUUACACAACGAAUUUGGAGAUAUAUCAAAAUGGGUAAACAUUAGAAGAGAUCUAUGANUUUUAAAGAUCUCUUAUGAUUGAAUUUUUUUUCAUUUUGUGCCUUUUUGUGCAUUUUUGAAAAUUUAGCCAUAUUUUUGUAUGCUUUAAAAUUCCUAUAUUAUAUGGUUCAAUGUAUGAUUUUUUAUAAAAAAAAAAUCCUUAUCCUAAAAUUAUAUGUUUUAAAUCUCCUAUUCUGUAUGAUUGAAUAAAUAUUUAAAUUUGAAAUAUAUUGGACUCAUAUGCAUACAUGCUUUUAUUAAGGGGGAGUAUUAUCUUAGGGGGAGAACAUGAAACACAACUUUUUAAUUAUGAUCAAAAAGGGGGAGAAAAUAUCUUAAAGCUUAUUGUUAUUCACUAAUGCCCUUGUCUUCCAUGAGUUGUGUUUUUACUCAGAUUAUUACCAAAAACUUUAAUUCAAAGGAGUUUUUGAUCAUCAUCAAAAAGAGGGAAAAUGUUAGCAAAAUGAUGAAGAUGAAGUUUUGAUGAUGCCCAAAUCAAGUCAAAAUUUAUCAAGAUUCAUGAAGAUCCUUUGAAGACUUAUUUUUGUUAUGAAAAGCUUUUGUAAUAAUUAUAGUUUAAUUGUUUAGGACUUAGAUUUGUAGUAGGUUUUGAUUCUUGUAUCUUUAUAUUUUGUAUUUGUUGUUUAGAAUCAAAACUUCCUCGUUUUAAUCAAUUAAUUUUUGAUAUAAUCGAUUAAAAUCGCUGCAGAAGCCAAAACCCAAUCAGCUUUGGAAUAAUCGAUUAAAGCAAGUUUUAAUCGAUUAAUCCUGAGAAUAAUCGAUUAAUACUAGCCGUUGGAGGUUUCUGAUUUGAAAAACUAGUCGUUGUACUUAUUUUAAUCGAUUAACACUAAUAUUAAUCGAUUAAAUGCAUUAAACGGCCAGUUUCGUAGAAUGGAAGAGUAUUUGCUUGAGUCUGUAUAUAGGCUCUCUUUAUCCAUCAACAAUAACUCUUCCCUUGUGCUAAGAACCUCUGAACUCUUUGAGAACUCUGUGAGAUUGUUGAAGCUAAGGAAACUCUUGUCUGCAAAGCUUUGAAGUGCUACUGCGGUGACAGAGGAAUAGCUUAUUCAUCCUUGGUGUGUCCGAGGAAGUGCCUGGAAGAGAAUCAUCCUUCGUGAAGCAUUCGAAGGAGGUGGUCAUCCUUUGUGAAGAUUCAAAGGAGGUGUAAGUUCAUCUCGUGUGGUUUCAAGAGAGGUGGCAUUUCUAAACUCUUACAAAUUGUUUUUCUCUGUGAUUAAUAUUUGUAAUUGUUUUGUCAUAGUGAAAAAGGUUUAUCUUGUUUGAGAUAAGCGACUGGACGUAGGAUCCGUGUGAUCUGAACCAGGAUAAAAUCACCUGUGCAAUUUGUCUCUUUCCCUUACUCUCUUAUUUGUAUUUAAUUAUCUGCUCAGUAAGAAAAAUUAAGAGAAAAAUAAUAAAAGGCACGAUAAAAGUAUAUAACCAAUUCACUCCCCCCUCUUGGUUUGUUCCACGCUAAUAAUUCUGUUGUAGCGAUUCUAACAAGUUGGCCCCGACUAUAGAAGAGUUUGAGCACAUCCUGGGUUUACUACUAGAGGGUAUCACGCCGUAUCAGCACUUUGAGCAUCACGCCUCUAUCUCUACCAUUGUCGCCAUAAUGAAAUUACAGCCCAAAGAACUAGAAGACAAGUUGGUAACAAGUAGGGGUGGGCAAAUCGAACUGAACUGUACCGCACUGCUAAAAACUGAACUGAACUGUAAAAUAGUUCAGACAAACUGAACUGUAAAACAGUUCAGAAAAACUGAAUUGAACUGUUUUUUCUUUUAUCAAACUGAAUUGUACUGUACUAAAUUACAGUAUGAAAUGAACUAAACUAUUAACUGAAUUGUAAACUACACUAACUGAACUGUAAACUGCACUAACUGAACUGAACUAUUAACUGAAUUGUAAAUUGCACUAACUGAACUAUUANNNNNNNNNNNNNNNNNNNNNNNNNNNNNNNNNNNNNNNNNNNNNNNNNNNNNNNNNNNNNNNNNNNNNNNNNNNNNNNNNNNNNNNNNNNNNNNNNNNNNNNNNNNNNNNNNNNNNNNNNNNNNNNNNNNNNNNNNNNNNNNNNNNNNNNNNNNNNNNNNNNNNNNNNNNNNNNNNNNNNNNNNNNNNNNNNNNNNNNNNNNNNNNNNNNNNNNNNNNNNNNNNNNNNNNNNNNNNNNNNNNNNNNNNNNNNNNNNNNNNNNNNNNNNNNNNNNNNNNNNNNNNNNNNNNNNNNNNNNNNNNNNNNNNNNNNNNNNNNNNNNNNNNNNNNNNNNNNNNNNNNNNNNNNNNNNNNNNNNNNNNNNNNNNNNNNNNNNNNNNNNNNNNNNNNNNNNNNNNNNNNNNNNNNNNNNNNNNNNNNNNNNNNNNNNNNNNNNNNNNNNNNNNNNNNNNNNNNNNNNNNNNNNNNNNNNNNNNNNNNNNNNNNNNNNNNNNNNNNNNNNNNNNNNNNNNNNNNNNNNNNNNNNNNNNNNNNNNNNNNNNNNNNNNNNNNNNNNNNNNNNNNNNNNNNNNNNNNNNNNNNNNNNNNNNNNNNNNNNNNNNNNNNNNNNNNNNNNNNNNNNNNNNNNNAAGACGAAACAAUUGAACUGAAACUAGAGAAGAUAUAAGAGUAGAUACAGUUCUCACAGUUAACUGAACUGUAACUGUUAUAAGUUCAGUUUUUAAAAACUGAACCAUAAAAUAGUAUACUGAACUGUUAGUAAAAGUGGUUCAGUUAUUUUUAGUAUAAUAUAGUACAGUUAACUGCAGUAUAGUACAAAUCAGUUAUUUUUGCUUAGCCCUAGUAACAAGGAAUCAAAUGCGUGGACUAACGCAAGGAUAUCUGGAACAGUACUUGCAGCAUCUGGUUGAUAAGGAAGAGUGAAAGACUUUCAUGGACGUGUUAGCUUUCACCGUGUAUGGCGUUGUUUUAUUCUCCAAGAUAGAAGACUUUGUGGACUAUACCGCAAUAAAUGUUUUCGUGGCGAGAAAGAUGAGGUCGGAGAUUCCUAUGACAGCAGUCCUUGCUGAUGUUUACGGGACCAUGAGUUUCUGUUACGAAAGGAAGAGGAAGAAAAUCCUUUGUUGUUUGUCGACACUGUAUGCUUGGAUGAUUGCGCGUGUGUUUAAAGGGGUAGUUAAUGUCAGGUGCCCAUCAGAAAAUCUAUCGCACUAUGGACUUAAAGCAAAAGGAGGAAAUGAGUGAGCCCAAUUCUUUGCUGGUUUGAAUGGAGGAAAAUGGUGUCUUCCUUGGCUUGGGAUUAAACCCUUUAUCCAUCAUUGUGACAGCUUUCCCAAUGUACCUCUCAUAGGUGUCCGAUAUUGUAUCAGUUACAACCCUAUUUUGAUUCAAAGGCAAUUCAAGCAUCUCAUGAAAGAGGCACCUUCGUCGGACUAUCUCACAACAUUUUUCAUCUACUAUGAAGAUGAACAUUUCACUGGAGUGCUGAGGAAAGUUAGAAGUGCUUGGGAAAGUGUUGUGUGAGCAGAAAAGGAUUUGAGGAUUUGAAUGGUGGACGGCAAACUUAGUUAUCAAACAUGGAUCCUAGAAAGAGUAAAGGAAGUCAAACUGUCUUUCAAGCCAAUCAGUGAUCAAUCGACUAAUGAAGGACCAUUGCAAAACUUAUAGAGUGAAGAGGUAAAACAGUUGAAAGCGGAGAUGGAAAACCUGAGAAAGAGAAAUGUUAGAUUGGAAAAAGAAUUGCAAAGUGCGCGCAACGAUUUCGUGGAUAUGAGGAAUGACAAAGAGGAGAAGUCACAGACCUAUGAAGAACUUAUUAGAAGCCAGAAGGCCGAAAAGGAUUAUACAUUCCGAUUGAAGCAAAAUCUUGCAACUGCAAGCAAAGAGCUAACCAUGAGAGUGAAGGAGAGGAAUGCGACAUUGGAAGAGAGAAAACAGAGGAAACACCUCUACGAAAAGGCCAAAAGAGAUAAGCGAGAAACCCUGAAGAAACUAAGAGGAGCGCAAAUUCAAGUACAAGAAGUGGGGCAUCAGAUGAAAGAAAUUGCUACGUCCUUUGAGGGUGAUUUGAACCAUGAGCGCUGAAAGCUAGCAGAGGCGGAAGAAUGGCAUCGGGCCAUGUUAAAACAGAUGGAGGAUUAUAUUGAGGAGCAAGAGGAGCGAUGGAGGUCGACAGAAUUUGAAGAAAGGCAUCAGGCCUUGGUGAAGCGAAUGGAAGAUCACAUCGCGGAGCAAGAAAUUGUUGUGAAGCAUUAGAAGGAAAGUUUCUCCCAAUUGGCAGCUUUGGCAAAUGGAGAAUUUGAAGACAUCCCCAAGAUGGUGUUGGACGCCGAAGUAAGUACUCACUUUUGUAGCCCGCCAGAAGAGAUAGAACGUUCUAUUAAUCAUUGUAAAUGGUUGGUGGGCAAAAUGAAAUCCUUCAUUGCUCGAGCUCGGGAGUGAUGUAUAAAUGAGAUCCUUGUAUUUCGUUCCUUAGGACAAUGUAUUGAACUGGAUUUUCUUUAAAUGAAAGAUGUGGGAUGUUUGUUUGGUACCGACUUGUGUUAAUUUCCAUCAGUAAUUUCCAUCAAUCUCUCCUCUAGACUCUUCAGCCUACUCUUAGCUCCAUCGACGUUACUAAUUACCCCAUGUAGAGCAGCGUGUGGUAUGGCCUUCGCUGAAGAGUCUUCUCCAGUAACCAUGUGUGGCAUUACAGUUACUCGCAUCCCUUCAACUGUGUUUGUCUCGUUCAUCCUUGUACUCACCAUGGGAGCCGAAAUUGAGACAGGUCGCUGAGUGUCAAUUAACGGUACAUUAACAGUUGUGGGAAAGGAGAAUAAAGCAUGCUCUGCUUUUGAGUACUCUCCUAUGGGAGGAGUGUAGCCUAGGGGUAAACCAUACAUCAGAAAAGGAAUUGAUUGACUUACGGCAUUGAACAUCGGGGGAUAAAAAUGGGCAUUCCCCCCAACUCGUGUAGACGAAGACUCUCCAGUGGUCUUUAGGGAUUUAAGGGAACCCAAGAUCUAGCUGACCUGGUCUUUCAACUGGCUAACAUCAUCAUUGAUGGAUUCUUGUGACUCCUCCCAGCUUUCCGUGACUCUUGAAUUGGCUCGAGUCCUGUAGGAAUGUUGUGAACAUUACUGAUGGAAAUUAACAGUCGAUACCAAAUAAACAUCUCACAUCUUUCAUUUAAAGAAAAUUUAGUUCAAUACAUUGAACUAAGGAACAAAAUAUAAGGAUCUCAUUUAUACAUCACUCCCGGGCUCGAGCAAUGAAGGAUUUCAUUUUGCCUACCAACCAUUUACAAUGAUUAAUAGAACGUUUUAUCUCUUCUGGCGCGCUACAAAAGUGAGUACGUACUUCAGCAUCCAACACCAUCUUGGGGAUGUCUUCAAUUGGUCCAUUUGUCAAAGUUGCCAAUUGGGAGAAACUUUCCUUCUAAUGCUUCACAACAAUUUCUUGCUCCGCGAUGUGAUCUUCCAUUCACUUCACAAAGGCCUAAUACCUUUCUUCAAAUUUUGUCGACCUUCAUCGCUCCUCUUGCUCCUCAGUAUAAUCCUUUAUAUGUUUUAACAUGGCCUGAUGCCCUUCUUCCACCUCUGCUAGCUUUCAACGCUCAUAGUUCAAAUCUACCUCAAACGACAUGGUCAUUUCCUUCAUCUGAUGUCUCACUUCUUCUACUUGAAUUUGUGCUCCUCUUAGUCUCUUUAGGGCUUCUCAGUUAUCUCUUUUGGCCUCUUCGUAGAGUUGUUUUCACUGUUUUCCCUCUUCCAACUCCGCACUCUUCUCCUUCACUCUCAUGGCUAGCUCUUUGCUUGCGGCUACAAGAUCUUGCUACAAUCGAAAUGUGUAAUCCCUUUCGGCCUUCUGGCUUCUAAUAAGUUCUUCAUAGGCCCGUGACUUCUCCUCUUUGUCAUUCCUCAUAUCUACUAAAUUAUUGCGCGCACUUUGUAAUUCUUUUUCCAAUCUAGCAUUCCUCUCUCUUAGUUUUUCCAUCUCCGUUUUCAACUGCUUCACUUCUUCACUCUCUAAGUCUUGCGGUGGUCCUUCACUAACCGACUGAUCACUGAUUGGCUUGAAAGACAGUUUGACUUCCUUUACUCUUUCUAGGAUCCAUGUUUGAUAACUAACUUUGUCGCCCACCACUCCAAUCCUCAAAUCUUUUUCUGCUCGCACAACACUUUCUUAAGCACUUCUAACUUUCCUCAGCACUUCAGUGAAAUGUACAUCUUCAUAGUAGAUGAAAAAUGUUGUGAGAUAGUCCGACGAAGGUGCCUCUUUCAUGAGAUGCUUGAAUUGUCUUUGAAUCAAAAUAGGGUUGUAACUGAUACAAUAUCGAGCACCUAUGAGAGGUACAUUGCUAAAGUUGCCACAAUGAUGGAUAGAGGGUUUAAUCCCAAGCCAAGGAAGACGCCAUUUUCCUUUUCCUCCAUUCAAAUGAGCAAAAAAUUGGACUCACUCAUUCCCUCCUUUGCCUUUAAGUCCUUAGUGGGACAUAUCUUCCGAUGAUGGACACCUGACAUUAACUACCCCAUUAAACACACGCGCAGUCAUCCAAGCAUACAGUGCCGACAAACAACAAAGGAUUUUCUUCCCCUUCCUUUCGUGACAGAAACUCAUGGUCCCAUAAACAAGACUCCCGUCACAGGAUUCUCUGACCUCAUCUUUCUCACCACGAAGACAUCUAUUGCGGUAUAGUCCACAAAGUCUUCUAUCUUAGAAAUAAAACAAUGUCAUACACGGUGAGAGCUAGCACGUCCAUGAAAGUCUUUCACUCUUCUUUAUCAGCCAAAUGUUGCAAGUAUUGUUCCAGAUAUCCUUGCCUCAGUCCACGCAUUUGAUUCCUCGUUACCAACCUGUCUUCCAGUUCUUUGGACUGUAAUUUCAUUAUGGCGACGAUGGUAGAGAUAGAGGCAUGAUGCUCUAAGUGUUGAUACGAUGUGGUACCCUCUAGUGGUAAACCCAGGAUGUGCUCAAACUCUUCUAUAGUCAGCAUCAACUGGAAGUCUUGAUAGGUGAAGCAUCUUAGCGGAGAAUCAUAAUACUAAGCAAAGGUCGUGAUAGCAGGCAACUGUACUUCUACUUCCAUUAGACUCAACAAAUUUUCAUACUUCUUCUUGAAGGUUUCUCUCUUCAUGGUCUUGAGUCUUCUACCUAAGUUUAUCAACCCUAUUAGAUUUCCCCCAUGAGUCCUUAGGUGAGGUUUCCUUCUUAAAACGGCAGGAUCGGUAUGUUGUGUAGUACCAUAUCUUGUAUCAACUUCCAUCUUGUAUGAGAUCAAGUGAAUACCUGUGAUCUCCCCUAAAACAGUAUGUUACCAAAUGAUGAAUGAACAUGAUGCAUGGUAACACAACGAAUUAAAAACAACAUGACUAACAAAAUACAUGCGUGCAAUGUCAUUAUUUUCAAAAAAGAACAAACCGUGUGAAGGGUUACAAGAAUACAUAUUUCUCCCUUCGUGUCCUAAUAAAGGUUCACUACUUCAAAUUCAAAGUCAAAUAUAUGCAAUCUCACCAGGAUGGUUCCCUGAACCUAAAGGUCAAUGGUCACUAGAACUAUGGCCCACUUCAUAGCAUCUUCACAACAAUCGAGUAAUCAACUAGGUGCGGAGACCCAAGUGAAAAGAACAAACUCUUGCUAGGGUUCUCACGAUAGUCAAACAGGAAGUAUGUCCCAAGUGGCACCGCUACACAACCCCUCUAUUUCUAAGUUACACUUAGAUCCGGGUAUAGAGCCUCACUCAUGAUAUGCAUAAAGUGUGUGUGUAAAAAAAGAAUGUAAUGCAUACCCACACCCUCACCUACAAAAAAACCAUAAAUAUCCCAAGCAGAUAUAAACAUGUUUUCUACCCUAGAACAUGGUCUACGAAAAACAAAUUUUAGGUUCGAAAGUCGGUUACGUGUAGGGAAGGUAUUAGCAUCCUACAUCGCCUAUCCUAAAGCAGUACCUUUAAUUAAAUGCGGAAAUGUGAUGUGAUUUUCAAAAUGUUUAAUUAUCCCCAAAAAUGACGCUAUAAAGAAACAAAAGAUAUUUUUUUUAAUUUUUGAGAAAUGGUUGAGAAAAUUUGUUUGAAAAAGAUUUGGAUUUUUGAGAAGUAAAUCUGACAAGGACUAGCUCUGUUCCUACAUAUCUUCACUUUGGAUAGAGAAUCAAGGAUCACGUAGUUCUGGCUGAAAAAUUGUUUGUUCAAAAAUGGAUUAUUUUAGUUUUUGAUGAUUUUAUUAUUUUUGGUAUUUUUGGCAUGAUUAAGAAAAAGAAAGUAAUGAAUAUUAAGCCGACACGAACAGUCACACGAGUAUUCAACAUUUAAAACAUUAUUUUUGUUAGUUUUUUUAUUAUUUUUAAAAGAGAAAACAUUUUUAACACAAGACUCGAACGAUCACACAUGUGUUUAACCUUUAAAACAUAUUUUUUUAUUUUUCUUUAAAAGGAAGAAAAAAGAUUUUUAACACAAGACGACGACAGCGAUCACACAUGUGUUUAACCUUUAAAAUAUAUUUUUGUAUUUUUUAUUUUGUAAUUUUCAUAUGUUUUUCAUGUGUUAUUAUAUAUAUUCCUAAAAUUGUAAACAUUUAAAAUGAAACAAACUCAAAAGAAUAAAAGAAAAAUAGAAUAAAAUAAAAUAAAUAGAGAGUGAAAAAUAAAACUAAAAAUAAAAUAAAGAAAAAAAAAGGCAAAUGAAAGACAUAAAAAGAGAUUAAAAAAAUUAAAAAGAAAAGCACAAAAUGUUAAUGGAGAGGUGAAAACAAAAAAAAUAACGACUAUGUAGAGAGAAAAAAAGAGUACCAAAGCUGCUAUGGGCUCGAGGCCCAACUAAGAAAAAAAAAAAGGAAAUACAGAGUGCCAGGAUGGGAAACAGAGGUGGAAAGGGGAAAGGGACUCGAGGUCCAAACUGAGUAAAAGGGAAUGGGGUGCGUGAAGGGUGUGCAAAGGAGAAUAGGGUUUUUUAUUUUAAAAAGAAAAAAACAAUGGAGCCCAACAACCUGGUCCAAGACUCCUAAGCAGAAAAUUAGGGGUUCUGCUCCCCCGUCUCAUUCUGUCAUUUCACUCUCAAAUGAGACGAAAGUGUCUUCCCCGAGAAACCCCAGAGAGGACUCACUUCCGCCACUCACGCACACUGCCGCCGUCGACGAAGCCGACGACCACAAUCCGCGAGCCAAGGCCGCGCUGGCGUCGCUGAUCACCGUCAAGGUCGUUGGUGGCGACCGUUCCGAUCUCUCCCUCCUUCUCUUCUUCGCGCGCGAGGUUGUUCGUGAACGACAACGGCCGCCGCUUGAGCGAAUCCGGCCGCCGGUCGCCGCGUCAAGGUCAUCUUCUCCUUUCUGCGUUAGAGGGUAAAAACCCCUAUUCCUGUGACACGCCCUCACCGUCACCGAUGAAGCCAGCCGCCACUGACACCUUCACGCCCACGGCUGCUCAACCCAAAUAGAAGGUUGAUGAUAAUAAUGGGGUGUAUGAGGGAUAUCAGCUCACAGAGGGCACUGGUUUCUAAUUGUUUAUGUUGUUGGAACGAGUGAAUAAGAAACCAUAUAUUCAAUAUAAUAGCAGAAAAGCUAUCUAACAUUUAUAAUAACAUUUAUAACUUGUGAGCGAUGAAGCGAAGGAGAACUUACUUUCCUCUUGUAAGUGCAAGGAGAGUGGCAAUGAAAAUGGAUUCUGGAGGUGAAUAAUCGUCAAGUUCCCUCUAGGGCGUAGGGCGUGGUAAUGAGAUCUCCCCUCACUCACUGUCCCUGCUGGGUUGUAAUGAACCGAAUCUCUGCUUUUUUUUUUCUGUCUUUUCCCCUUUUUUAUGCUUCAAUUGGAGACACCCUUUUCCCCAUCUUUGGGCUUUUGUUUUUUUCUUUUCUUUCCUUUUUGUUAUUUUCAAAGAAGGUCAGCAAAACGCACUUACG